rnacentral:rRNA from 1 species
AUGGAGCCAGGCUCUAAAGAGCCCCAGCCCGGCGCCUACUUGAAGGCUGGCGAUGAUAUCUUCAUCAAGCUACCCUGGGCGUUGAACUCCAGGGCGCCGGUCAAGGGGGAAACUUUCGAUCAAGAGCUGCUCGCCUCCACCGGGCUGUCGUUGGUCGACGCGCCCAGCAGCAGCAGUGGCGAGCCUGAGGAGGAGCAGCUGCUGCAGAAGCUGCUGUCACUCUACCGCGCACGGCAAGCCAAGCUGGCUUCCCGGGAAGCGCUUGUCGCGAAGGCGGGAGUUGACAUGGAGAAGCGCGUGGAGGAGCUCUGGGGCCACAAUCAAGAAGCUCUCCGGUCCCUGGCACAGGAGCGGGAGUGA